AUGCUUGUUUCAAUAGCACACAUACGAAAACUGGAACAAUACAGAGAAGAUUUGCAUGACUUGUGUGCAAGAAUGACAAGUAAAUCUUUGAAGCAUGCCAUAUUUGG